CAAAGCUAUGUGUCUAGCAUUAGAAAAAAAAAAGUCCAGUUCUGUAGCAUCCUGGAGUCACCUCAUAAAGGUUAAAUAAAUAGACACAAGUUGUUCCUUAUGUGGGGAUCCAAGGUAUGAAGACGCAGAGUAAAUCCUCAGUUAUCAAACGGAAAAAGAUGGGCAGCUAAGAUGCAUAUAAAGGGGAGCUAGGGGGUUGGGGAUUUAGGUCAGUGGUAGAGCGCUUGCCUAGCAAGCGCAAGGCCCUGGGUUCGGUUCCCAGCUCCGAAAAAAAAGAAAAGAAAGAAAAAGAAACUUUAAAAGCAGAAGAAAAAAAAGAACCUCAGGACCGGAGAGAUGACUCAGUCAGUAAGAUACUCGCUCGGCAGUCCUCAUACAGGUGAAGGAGAAAACCAUCCCCACGAUGGUCCUCUAGCUUUCGUGCCUGUGCUGUGCACAUGUGUAUGCAUCCCACACCCACUGUGGCAGAGAAGCAUGGGAGAAAGAACAGCUGAGAGGUCACAUGCUAAACACAAGCACCGAACAGAGAGCAGACUCAGACACACAGGCACACACACAAACACACACACACACACACACACACACACACACACACACAGAAUCUCUCUCUCUCUCUCUCUCUCUCACACACACACACACACACACACACACACACACACACACACACACACGUCUUUAAACCUUUAAACUCUGGAAACUUGCCAAGACCACACCUCCUAAUCUGUCCCAAAUAGGAUCACUAACUGGGGAGAGACCAAGUAUUCAAAUACCCAGGAAUGGGGGUGAGGGGAAGAGAGGAAU
rnacentral:lncRNA from 1 species